AUUGAACGCUGGCGGCAUGCCUUACACAUGCAAGUCGAACGGCAGCGCGGGAGCAAUCCUGGCGGCGAGUGGCGAACGGGUGAGUAAUAUAUCGGAACGUGCCCUAGAGUGGGGGAUAACUAGUCGAAAGAUUAGCUAAUACCGCAUACGAUCUACGGAUGAAAGGGGGGGAUCGCAAGACCUCAUGCUCGUGGAGCGGCCGAUAUCUGAUUAGCUAGUUGGUAGGGUAAAAGCCUACCAAGGCCACGAUCAGUAGCGGGUCUGAGAGGACGACCAGCCACACUAGGACUGAGACACGGCCCAGACUCCCACGGGAGGCAGCAGUGGGGAAUUUUGGACAAUGGGGGAAACCCUGAUCCAGCAAUGCCGCGUGUGUGAAGAAGGCCUUCGGGUUGUAAAGCACUUUUGUCCGGAACGAAACGGGCCGAGCUAAUAUCUUGGCCUAAUGACGGUACCGGAAGAAUAAGCACCGGCUAACUACGUGCCAGCCGCCGCAGUAA
rnacentral:rRNA from 1 species